rnacentral:rRNA from 1 species
GGGCCCGCACAAGCGGUGGAGCAUGUGGUUUAAUUCGAUGAUACGCGAGGAACCUUACCAGGGCUUAAAUGCAGAACGACCGGGAUGGAAACAUCCCUUUCUUCGGACGGUCUGCAAGGUGCUGCAUGGUUGUCGUCAGCUCGUGCUGUGAAGUGUCGGGUUAAGUCCCAUAACGAGCGCAACCCCUAUUUCUAGUUGCCAGCGGUUCGGCCGGGGACUCUAGAGAAACUGCCAGCGUAAGCUGUGAGGAAGGUGGGGAUGACGUCAAAUCAUCACGGCCCUUACGUCCUGGGCCACACACGUGCUACAAUGGUGGGGACAACGAGUCGCUAACCCGCGAGGGUGAGCUAAUCUUCAAACCCCAUCUCAGUUCGGAUCGGAGUCUGCAACUCGACUCCGUGAAGUUGGAAUCGCUAGUAAUCGCGUAUC